AUUGAACGCUGGCGGCAUGCCUUACACAUGCAAGUCGAACGGUAACAGGUCUUCGGAUGCUGACGAGUGGCGAACGGGUGAGUAAUGCAUCGGAACGUGCCCAGUUGUGGGGGAUAACUGCUCGAAAGAGCAGCUAAUACCGCAUACGACCUGAGGGUGAAAGCGGGGGAUCGCAAGACCUCGCGCAAUUGGAGCGGCCGAUGUCAGAUUAGGUAGUUGGUGGGGUAAAGGCCUACCAAGCCGACGAUCUGUAGUUGGUCUGAGAGGACGACCAGCCAAACUGGGGCUGAGACACGGCCCAGACUCCUACGGGAGGCAGCAGUGGGGAAUUUUGGACAAUGGGCGCAAGCCUGAUCCAGCAAUGCCGCGUGCAGGAAGAAGGCCUUCGGGUUGUAAACUGCUUUUGUCAGGGAAGAAAUCCUCUGGGUUAAUACCCCGGGGGGAUGACGGUACCUGAAGAAUAAGCACCGGCUAACUACGUGCCAGCAGCCGCCGUAAUAC
rnacentral:rRNA from 1 species